AAGGAAAGCUACAAUUCAAGAUUCAUUUGAAUAUUUGGCACACUUACAGAGUUGUGAGAUUUUGAAGUCCAGAUGAGAACCAAGAUGGAGCCUCUGAAGGAUCAAAUGAGUUGUUGCUCAAGUCCCUGUAAAUGAAAUCAGAUUGUAGAGGGCAUGCAUUCCAGUCAUAUUUGGUAUCAUUCCUGUUAGCUCGUUGUUUGCAAAGUUUCUAGGACAAAGGCAAGCAAGGAUCAGUUUCUCAAGCUCAGAAGUUAUUUGAUCUCAUUGAUUCCAGAAAUCACUUACAGCACUUUGAGUCUUGUCAGAUUGCUGAUACUUUGAGGAACUGGUCCAAUCAAAUUAUUGCGGUCUAGCCGUCUAAGAAAAGCGCAAGAAAGAUAUAAACAAAUAGUUUGAUGCAAAGGAAAUUAAUAGCAAGCACUCACAAAACUUCGAGUUUCUGAAGAAGUCCAAUUGAUUCUGGAAUAACCCCAGAAAGAUUAUUGCUGUCAAGCAGUCUGAAUGCAAACAACAAGUUAGUAUGCAGAGAGCCUAUUACAAGGAAGCUUCAGGUGGCAAUAGAGCUGAUACAUCUUACAUAUGUUUAACAUUCAUGCUAGAGCUGAAAAGGCUCAGUGGAAUUGGACCUGAGAGAUAAUUCUUGUUCAAGUGGCUGAUAAGAACAUAUUUCAUCAUCGUUAAUUCUUCACCGCGUAAGUUUUUUAUUUGAUCAUGCAUGGAAAACUGAGGCUUACAAGUGCUGAGCGUGAGCCAGCUGAUCUAAACCUGAACCUUCAGUUGCUGAAAUCGGGAUGCUUCCAUUUAAUUGAUUGUUUGCCAGGUCUAGCCAUACGAGGUCGGCGAGCCUACCCAGGGAUGCAGGUAUUCUACCAGUAAAAUGGUUUGCAUUUAAUGAUCUGUGACACAGGUUUAGGUGGGAAUCAUCAGACUCUUGUUC